AGGGCACCACCAGGAGUGGAGCCUGCGGCUUAAUUUGACUCAACACGGGAAAACUCACCCGGCCCGGACACUGGAAGGAUUGACAGAUUGAGAGCUCUUUCUUGAUUCAGUGGGUGGUGGUGCAUGGCCGUUCUUAGUUGGUGGAGCGAUUUGUCUGGUUAAUUCCGAUAACGAACGAGACUCUAGCCUACUAAAUAGACUGCUCAGCUUUAUAGCUAGAUCACCGGGCAUGUUGGCUUCGGUCAGUGUGUUCGGCUCUGGUGACGCUGGCAGUGCUUCUUAGAGGGACAGGCGGCGGUUCAGCCGCACGAAACAGAGCAAUAACAGGUCUGUGAUGCCCUUAGAUGUCCGGGGCUGCACGCGCGCUACACUGAAGUGAUCAGCGUGCAUUUAUAUUUUGCUGCUCCGUCAGGAGUGGCUAACCCGUUGAACCUUCUUCGUGAUUGGGAUAGGAGAUUGUAAUUAUUCUCCUUGAACGAGGAAUUCCCAGUAAGCGCAAGUCAUAAGCUUGCGUUGAUU
rnacentral:rRNA from 1 species